AUGUCCGAGGAAUCACUUGUGCAUGUUGUCUCUAGUGAGGAGGAGGCAAGAGAAAGGAAAAGGAAAAAGAACAAGAGGCCAAGAGCCAAUGCUCCUGUUAGGAUGUCAUCCGAUGUUUGGGCCCAUUUUCACAAGGUCAGGGAGCCAUGUGAGAAGACUGGAGAGAUUGUGUUGAAGGCUGUUUGUAAUUAUUGUAGCGACAAGAAGUAUGCGUAUACGCAAGGUGGCAGCACCUCAACUAUUGGAAGGCAUUUAAAAUGUGAGGGUUACAAGUCCAAGAUGGCUAGGGAUGCCAUCCAAACAACUCUUGAAUUGCGCAAAAUCAAUGGUACAACAAGUGGUCCAACAAUGCACCCCUCUAUUGAGUACAACCAAGGAAUCAUCAAGGAUCUUAUUGCUAAGAUGAUAUGUGUGCAUGAGUAUUCAUUUAGAAUGGUUGAACAUGAGUGGUUCAACAUUCUAAUGAAGUGCAUGAAUCCAAAUUAUAAACCCAUUGGAAGGAAGGCAAUACGAGCUGAGUGCAUGAGGGUCUACAGGAAAGAAAAAGAUGUGCUUAAAUCUGUCCUAAAGUGUGUGAGCUCCAUAUGUCUAACUACAGAUUUGUGGACAAGCAACCAAACCUUAUCUUACAUGUGUGUGGUUGCACACUAUAUAGAUGUGAAUUGGAAGAUGCAAACCCGUGUUCUUGCUUUCAUAGAGUUGGAUCCUCCUCACUCUGGAAAUGUCAUUGCAGAUGCUCUCUAUGCGUGUGUGACAGAAUGGAAUAUUGAGACCAAAAUUAUGUCUGUGACACUUGACAAUGCUUCAAACAAUGAUGGUGCGAUCGAUGCUUUGAAGGCCAAGUUCUUGUUUCGGAUAGGUAUGCUUGUAUGCCUUUCGUUUUUGCUCAUAUGCUUGUUGCUAUGCUCAUAUAGAAGCUCUUUCUGCUCAUAUGUUUGA
rnacentral:rRNA from 1 species